UGGGUUUCAGUACAUCUUUGUGGUGGAAGUAAAUGCUACUCCGCUGUUAAACAGUUGGCCUCAUUUUUGCUUCCAAAGUUCCCAGCUACAAUGCUGCCUCUUCACUGGCACUGUAAUCACAACGUAUACAAUUGUGAGGACUACAGAAUAAUUAUGUGUUGAAGUCUCUGGCUGCCAGAAUCUCUAGCGCGGAAGGCUGUCAUUUAAGAAGAAUGGCUCACUGGCUCUCACAGCAAAUGAAGUGCCUAAGAGUGGAAAAGGCAGGUGAGCUCAGCAGCAAAGACCGCAGCUGUGGGGAAAACAGAGUGGCCAUCAAAAUCAGAGAACUUGAGAGCUUUGAAGAAGAUGCCCAGUGACGGCACUCAACCCCAACUGUGACACCCAGGGCAGGUCCCAUCCCUUCCAAUCAAGACUCCAUAACAAAGGGAUGGCCCCCUGAAAGUUUUCUGUGGUGCUGAUCUGCGCAACCACCUCCUGAU